AGUCGGCGACGUCGUAGUCGGCCUGCCGAUUCGCCGGCGUCGUGGCGGCCGGCCGAAUCGCGGGCGUCGUGGUCGGAUGGCCAAAUCGGCGGCGUGGUGAGCAAGUGGGUCGUAGCUGCGGGCGGUAUUGCCGUAUUGGCACUGCCUCCAUCUUCUCCUUUCUCUACUGCAAGUGCUGCGCGGCCUUCCGUCGGCCGUUGUCUGCGAAACUCGUGGGGAUUUUUCAAGCAUUGGUCGCUAGUGAUGAUUCAGAUUAUUUUGACUUGCUAAUCAGGCAUCGAGAACACUCCGGAUGAAAGAUCUAAAGGAUGUCAUGUAUAAGCAUGGACUUUCAAAGCAUGGAAAAAGCAGGUUUGUUCACUGAUAUUUUGUAUACCUACGUUUCACACAAAUAAGUUCUAGGUGCUGAUUUACUUCACAUCCAUUGCCCAUAUGCGUCAGUCUACCUUUAUUGUGGGAAAGCACACAAUUGAUCGAAUUUUUUAUGGCCUCCAUAUCAAUGACAUAAAAAAUUCGGAAACUAAUGAACCUCCAUGUCAAUUCGGAAUCGGUGGCAAUGGCGGCGUGGCGUGCUUCAUUCUGUUGAAGGGGAUUGUACGAAUGGCUGGAUGGUGGCGGCAACUGAUGACUCCGGUGGCCUCAGCCUCAGAUUGGAUGCCAUAAAUUUAGUUAUCAGUGUAUAUGUAGCAGCUCAGUCAUCACAGUUUUAUCCUUUGUAAAUCUAUGAUUGAA